ACUUAUAGCUUUAUCCCAUUGAAUGCACCAGUUCCUGACCAAUCACUCAAGUUAAGCAAUGUUGAGCCUAGUUAGAACUUAGAUGGUGACCACAUGGGAAACCUAAGUGCUUACUUU
rnacentral:rRNA from 1 species